rnacentral:rRNA from 1 species
GGAUUGACACAUCGGUCGUGCCUUAAGGGGUAUGAACUGGUGUAGUCAAUUUCUCACCUUCUGGAGAACCACGAUGCCCUUAAUUGGGUGUCGCGGGGAACCAGGACCUUUACUUUGAAAAAAUUAGAAUGUUUAAAGCAGGCAUUUUGCUUGAAUACAUUAGCAUGGAAUAAUAAAAUAGGACGGCAUGAUUCUAUUUUGUUGGUUUCUAGGAUCACCGUA